UACGUAGGGGGCAAGCGUUGUCCGGAUUCAUUGGGCGUAAAGAGCGUGUAGGCGGCCUGGUAGGUCAGCUGUGAAAACUCGAGGCUCAACCUCGAGACGCCGGUUGAAACCAUCAGGCUAGAGUCCGGAAGAGGAGAGUGGAAUUCCCGGUGUAGCGGUGAAAUGCGCAGAUAUCGGGAAGAACACCCGUGGCUAAGGCGGCUCUCUAGUACGGUACUGACGCUGAGACGCGAAAGCGUGGGGAGCGAACAGG
rnacentral:rRNA from 1 species